rnacentral:rRNA from 1 species
UUAAGCGACUAAGCGUACACGGUGGAUGCCCUGGCAGUCAGAGGCGAUGAAGGACGUGCUAAUCUGCGAUAAGCGUCGGUAAGGUGAUAUGAACCGUUAUAACCGGCGAUUUCCGAAUGGGGAAACCCAGUGUGAUUCGUCACACUAUCAUUAACUGAAUCCAUAGGUUAAUGAGGCGAACCGGGGGAACUGAAACAUCUAAGUACCCCGAGGAAAAGAAAUCAACCGAGAUUC